UACGUAGGGACCAAGCGUUGUUCGGAUUUACUGGGCGUAAAGGACGCGUAGGCGGCAAUUCAAGUCAGUUGUGAAAUCUCCGAGCUUAACUCGGAACGGUCAACUGAUACUGUUUUGCUAGAGUACAGAAGGGGCAAUCGGAAUUCUUGGUGUAGCGGUGAAAUGCGUAGAUAUCAAGAGGAACACCUGAGGUGAAGACGGGUUGCUGGGCUGAUACUGACGCUGAAGCGCGAAAGCUAGGGUAGCAAACGGG
rnacentral:rRNA from 1 species